rnacentral:rRNA from 1 species
UACAGAGGUGGCAAGCGUUGUUCGGAAUUACUGGGCGUAAAGGGCGCGUAGGCGGUCAGGUCAGUCCCGUGUGAAAUCCCUCGGCUCAACUGAGGAACUGCACGGGAAACUACCUGGCUUGAGUUCGGGAGAGGGAAGCGGAAUUCCGGGUGUAGCGGUGAAAUGCGUAGAUAUCGAGAGGAACACCGGUGGCGAAGGCGAGUCCCUGGACAACACCUGACACUGAGGCACGAAAGCUAGGGGAGCAAACAGG